rnacentral:lncRNA from 1 species
GAUGAUUGAGGAUUAAGCUUCAAGCUUUGGUGCACUAUUUUGUGUUUUCUGUUGAACACAGUAAGCACUUGGUUGCCCUUAGUUUCUUAAGUUUUCCGGAGCUUGACAUUUUAAAUUUGUUACAUGACAUUUAACAAAUGUGAAUUGUUUAUGUUCUGUGUUUUGAGUGAUAAGUAUUUAGCUCAUUCAGUAAUUGAACUAGAGAAGCAUCUGUCUGAUUGAACUAGAGAAGCAUCUGUCUGAAUCUUCAUCCACUGGCAGUAAAUUUCAUUUUUAUUUUAUUUUGUUGAUACCAAUUCCUACUGACAGCACCCGCAGAAAGGGUGGAAGAAGGGGUAGAAGGCUGUAAGCUGUCUCUCAUCAUAGCAGUUCCAUUAUGGCUGGUGGUGCUUUGAUUGCUUGGUGACGGUUCUUUCCAAUCCGGGAUGUUUUUGUAGUUUUUAUUAUCCUAUCAGGAGUUGUUGACUUUGAAUUUAUAUUUAAGCAUUGUAGAAACAUAAAGAUAUGAUGGAGUUUUGCUUGUGACUUUGAUGUUCUAAAUGAGGUCAUUACUUGUAUUGAAGUAAUAUUUUUUUUUGACAUGCCAUUGCAAAGAUAGUCAUUUGCUCGAAAUUAUCUAUAAGUUAUCCCUUGCAUUAUUUUUGAAUCUGGUGUUUCAUUCUCUGACUGUAAGUAGCCUUCGCACCAAGCAUUCCACCUGAAUCUCACAGGCACUGGUUAUUCCCUUUCGGUUAACCAUUCAGAAAGUGUCCUUUCAUGAUCGAUCUUGGGGUGAUGUUAUUUUGUUCUCGCUCUAGCCGUCUGUACGUUUGUUUGUAGCAAAUGGUAAAACCUAGGAAACAUUAGACGGCCUCUUUCAUGAUUUCAUCAGAGCAAGAGCUUCUAGCCCGCAAGUUAUCUCACAUUUUUCAUGCAGUCUGACGAGAUUAC